rnacentral:tRNA from 1 species
GCCGAAGUAGCUCAGGGGUAGAGCAUCGGUUUCGUAAACCGACGGUCGUGGGUUCGAAUCCCACCUUCGGCUCCA